GCUGGGGGCGGGGAAGCGGGGGCGGGGUGGCGCAGGAAGAAGGAGCAGAAGGUGCGGGGAGGAGAGCGGGGGGCGCCGGCGGCGAGCGCGCGUGGAGGCGGCACUUCGCGAAGUGGCACUUCGGGGCGGGCGGCUGGCCCGCCGGGUCACGGCCUGGCGCUGCGGGGAGGGGACCCGAGCGGCUCGGACGCAGGACGCCGCGGGCCGGGUUUACAGGUGACAGAGGCCCCGACCCCACCGCUUCGCCGGCGCUGUGGUCUCUGAUUGCUGGAUGUCAUGCACUGAAGCCUGGAGGCUCCAGAUCCCGGAUAUUCCGUGCUUGCGCGUGCCCUACAGCAGCACAGUUCAGUAGGCAGAAGCCACUUCUACUACCCGGCUAAGAAAACAUGGGCAGAUCCUGCUCUGGAUGACGCUGUGUUCCAGCCUGCAGAGAGGGUCCCCCAUUUCUUCGGAACUAAUCCUCCAGGAAAUUAACAGAGAGCUGCUGUUGGAAACUGGAGCCCUCCCCUUCCUCAGCCCUGAGCGAGGUAAACAAUUCUGCUCUGCCUUCCGGAGGUUUCAAAUUAGCUCUUCGACCAGCAUCUUCACACAGCUUCCAGUCCUGCCACAGUCUUGAAGAAGAGAUCAGCUUUCAAGUCUUCAUUCUUGUCAAGAUUAGAUGCCCCUCGAAUCUCCCAUGUGUCAUUAAUCCCAGACGAACAAGCACUCGGGAACUGCGGGCUGCAGAUGGUCCGCUUAUCCUGCAAAACGCUCCUCUUUUGGGGCUUAACCCCUUUAGUCUUUGUUGCUUCUGCAGCUCUCUGAUGCCAUUAAAGAGAUGAUUUUUAUA